rnacentral:rRNA from 1 species
AUUGAACGCUGGCGGCAGGCCUAACACAUGCAAGUCGAGCGGAUGAAGGGAGCUUGCUCCUGGAUUCAGCGGCGGACGGGUGAGUAAUGCCUAGGAAUCUUCCUGGUUGUGGGGGAUAACGUCCGGAAACGGGCGCUAAUACCGCAUACGUUCUGCUGGCGAAAGUGGGGGAUCUUCGAACCUCACGCUAUCAGAUGAGCUUAGGUCGGAUUAGCUAGUUGGUGGGGUAAAGGCCUACUAAGGGGACGAUCCGUAACUGGUCUGAGAGGGGGAGCAGGCACACUGGAAGUGAGCGACGGUCCUGACUCCUAGGGGAGGCAGCAGUGCGGACUAUUGGACGCUGGGCGGAAGCCUGCUCAAGCCACGCCGCGCGGGUGAAGAAGGGCUGCGGAUUGUAAAGCACUUUUAGUUGUGAGGAAGGGCAGUAAGUUAAUCCCUGGCUGUUUUGACGUUACCAACAGAAUAAGCACCGGCUAACUUCGUG